AUGCCCAAGCUUGGGACCAGCAAGCAGGAACCGGAUGAAUUAAUUGUACGUGUUCAGGAAGAGCUGAAGCCCCAUAAGCACUUGAACAACAAAAACAUUCAGGAGGCAUUUCUUCAGUGUGACAAGGAUGGCUCUGGUGUACUGGACAAAGCAAACUUUUUAUCCCUCUGUGAGAGCUUGAGUGUGCCAACCAACACCACUCUUCUUAACGAGCUGAUUGACCAGUGUUCUUGUGGAGAAAACCAGAUAAACUACCGUGACUUCCUUAGAGCCUUCCCUUUGUGAUCUCUGCCCAGAAGCUGAAGAACAAGACCAGCAAUAAAAUUCUUACUGACUUGACUUUAAGACAUUGUACUUCAAAAAAGAUGCUCUAGUCUUCACCUUCACUCACUCUCCUCCUUCCAUCCUCACUAGAUCCAGCUAAUUUUACCCUCACUUUGUUAAUUUUUUUUCCUUCUUAAUCUCUUCCUGCCCUUUUGGUCACUGCCAAACUCAACCUCACAACUACUGGACAUUGAAAUGAAACUCACAAGAGAAAAAAACUUUGAAGAACCAAAGCCAGGCACUCUUGUUGAACUUUGUAAUGCAGUACAGCAAGGCUUGCUAGAGCUCUCUAUAGCCUGCAGUGAUAACCACUCCAGAUUUCUCUUAGAGUCAAAAGGAGCCUUUCACCUUCAAGCAGUGAAGACUUACCAGUUUAAAUAGAUAUUUACAUUGCAAGAAAAUAUAAGAGCCCUACCAUGGCCUGUGAUAAAUUUACCCUUGCUGGUCUGAAUGUGUUAAUGUAUCUGCUUUAAAUAGAAGUACCUCAAUAGCUGGAAUAGCUAAGGAUUAAAAUUUUGAGGGUGUGGUGGAGAAAAAACCCACAAAGUGUGAUUCUGGUUUUAUUUGAAGUGAUGAGUUUAGCUCUCACACAGCUGUGGAGAUAGCAGGGGUCUUUACACAAAUCUGCUGACGGCAGCUUUGCAUUUUUUUAACAAAAGGUUGGGAGAAUGAUUUUAGUAUUGAGAUACUAUCUAAACCUAUUGUAUGCAACCUGUCACCAUACCAGACAGACCCAAUGAAAAGGGAAAACAAGCAGUUGGCAUAGCAAUAGAGGUAUGACACUUGUGCUCCACUUGGAGUUACAUUGCUCAUCUUUCCAUGAAGGUAAAUGUGUCAGGGACCUUCUCACCCCAGAUGACACCUGCCAAGUAUUGCCACUGAGCACAUGUGAAAGGCACCCAUCAUGCACACAGCAGAGAACAAAGCUCUGAAACAAAUUGCUUAUUUAAAUCAGCUUUUUUUAGGGUGGAUUCCCACUUCCCCUCAGGCAGCUGAGAGCCUUCACAUGACAGCUCCCUCCUGUCACCCCUUGUUCAGAAAGGUCACCACUCUUCCCUUCUGGGCCUGUUCUGUGCUGCUGCUCAGUCCAGCUGAGAAUCACUACAGCUCUCUCUGGUC
rnacentral:lncRNA from 1 species